rnacentral:rRNA from 1 species
AUUGAACGCUGGCGGCAGGCCUAACACAUGCAAGUCGAACGGUAACAGGAUACGGCUUGCUGUUUCGCUGUCGCGAGGCGCGCGCGGGUGUGGUGUCCAUGAAACUGCCUGUUGUAGUGGGGGAACUACUGGGAACGGUUACUCUAACAGCAUAUAGUACCAACAGCAGAAAGCGGGGGCCCUGCGCCCCUUGCCCGCUGGUGUGAGCCGAUGUGGGAUUAGCUUGUUGGUGGGGUAACGGCUCACCAAGGCGACGAUCCGUAGCUGGUCUGAGAGGAUGACCAGCCACACUGGAACUGAGACACGGUCCAGACUCCUACGGGAGGCAGCAGUGGGGAAUAUUGGACAAUGGGCGCAAGCCUGAUGCAGCCAUGCCGCGUGUAUGAAGAAGGCCUUCGGGUUGUAAAGUACUUUUGGCGGGGAGGAAGGGAAUAAAGUUAAUACCUCGCCGCAUUGACGGUACCCGCAGAAGAAGCACCGGCUAACUUCGUG